rnacentral:rRNA from 1 species
AUUGAACGCUGGCGGAAUGCUUUACACAUGCAAGUCGAACGGUAAGGCCCUUCGGGGUACACGAGUGGCGAACGGGUGAGUAACACGUGGGUGAUCUGCCCUGCACUUCGGGAUAAGCCUGGGAAACUGGGUCUCAUACCGGAUACGACCAUGCGCUUCACGGUGUGUGGUGGAAAGCUGUUGCGGUGUGGGGUGGGCCCGCGGCCUAUCAGCUUGUUGGUGGGGUAAUGGCCUACAAAGGCUACGACGGGUAGCCGGCCUGAGAGGGUGACGGGCCACACUGGGACUGAGAUACGGCCCAGACGCCUACGGGAGGCAGCAGUGGGGAAUAUUGCACAAUGGGCGCAAGCCUGAUGCAGCGACGCAGCGUGAGGGAGGACGGCCUUCGGGUUGUAAACCUCUUUCAGUAGGGACGAAGCGCAAGUGACGGUACCUACAGAAGAAGGACCGGCCAACUACGUGCCAGCCGCCGCUGUAA